rnacentral:rRNA from 1 species
CUUUCUUUGCUGGCGACUGGCGCACGUGUGAGUAACACGUAUCCAACCUGCCCUUUACUCGGGGAUAGCCUUUCGAAAGAAAGAUUAAUAUCCGAUAGCAUAUAUUUCCCGCAUGGGUUUUAUAUUAAAGAAAUUCGGUAUGAGAUGGGGAUGCGUUCCAUUAGUUUGUUGGGGGGUAACGGCCCACCAAGACUACGAUGGAUAGGGGUUCUGAGAGGAAGGUCCCCCACAUUGGAACUGAGACACGGUCCAA